CACCGCGGUUAUACGAGUGACACAAACUAAUAUUUUACGGCGUAAAGGGUGAUUAAAACCAAUCUUUUUAAAAAUAAAGUUAAGAUAACAUCAAACUGUCAUACGUUAUCCAUGUUCCAAAACAUCAGUUACGAAAGUAACUUUAUACAAAAAAGAGUUUUUGACUUCACGACAGUUAAGGCC
rnacentral:rRNA from 1 species